CCUGCCGUCUACUCUUGGCCAGCCUUCUGAAAGGAAGAUUAAUCCAGGAUGGGAUCAUGAGUUCACAUGUCCGCAUGAUUAAAGGUAUUUUCCGGUAGACGAUGGGGAUGCGUUCCAUUAGAUAGUAGGCGGGGUAACGGCCCACCUAGUCAACGAUGGAUAGGGGUUCUGAGAGGAAGGUCCCCCACAUUGGAACUGAGACACGGUCCAAACUCCUACGGGAGGCAGCAGUGAGGAAUAUUGGUCAAUGGGCGAUGGCCUGAACCAGCCAAGUAGCGUGAAGGAUGACUGCCCUAUGGGUUGUAAACUUCUUUUAUAAAGGAAUAAAGUCGGGUAUGCAUACCCGUUUGCAUGUACUUUAUGAAUAAGGAUCGGCUAACUCCGUGCCAGCAGCCGCGGUAAUACGGAGGAUCCGAGCGUUAUCCGGAUUUAUUGGGUUUAAAGGGAGCGUAGAUGGAUGUUUAAGUCAGUUGUGAAAGUUUGCGGCUCAACCGUAAAAUUGCAGUUGAUACUGGAUGUCUUGAGUGCAGUUGAGGCAGGCGGAAUUCGUGGUGUAGCGGUGAAAUGCUUAGAUAUCACGAAGAACUCCGAUUGCGAAGGCAGCCUGCUAAGCUGCAACUGACAUUGAGGCUCGAAAGUGUGGGUAUCAAACAGGAUUAGAUACCCUGGUAGUCCACACGGUAAACGAUGAAUACUCGCUGUUUGCGAUAUACGGCAAGCGGCCAAGCGAAAGCGUUAAGUAUUC
rnacentral:rRNA from 1 species